UCCAUGUUAGUUUCUUUUGCUUAAUUUUAUCUCCUAAGUUUUUUUUUGCUUAAUUUUGUCUACUUAGUUUCUUUUAUUUAACUUUGUCUCCAUGUUAGUUUCUUUUGCUUAAUUUUGUUUUAAUGUCAAUUUCUUUUACUUAAUUUUGUCUCAAUGUUUAUGUCAGUUUCUUAUUCUUAAUUUUGUUUCCAUGCCAAUUUCUUUCAUUU
rnacentral:lncRNA from 1 species